GAUGAACGCUGGCGGCGUGCCUAAUACAUGCAAGUCGAGCGAACAGACGAGGAGUAUGCGCCUAUGAUGUUAGCGGCCGACGGGUGGUUAACACGUGGAUAACCUACCUAUAAGAAAGGGGUAACAACGCGAAACAGGCGCUAAUACCGGAUGACAUGUUGAACCGCAUGGUUCAACAGUGGAAGACGGUCGUGCUGUCAGUUAUAGCUGGAUACGCGCCGCAUUAGCAAGUUGGUAAAGUAAAGGCUUACCAAGGCAACGAUGCUUAGCCGACCUCAGAGGGUGAUCGCCUACCUUGGUACUGAGACACGGUCCAGACUCCUACGGUAGGCAGCAGUAGGGAAUCUUCCGCAAUGGGCGAAAGCCGAAUGGUGGAACGCCGCGUGAGUCAAGAACGUCCUCUGAUCGUAGAGCGCUGUUAUUAGUGAAGAACAAAUGUGUAAUCAACUAGGCACGUCUUGACGGUACCUAAUCAGAAAGCCCCGGCUAACUACGUG
rnacentral:rRNA from 1 species